GCAGAUAUAUUCCUACGCCAUUAGGUGGAUAGCUAGGUUUAGGAAAGCGAUGAAGGGCGUGGCAAGCUACGAUAUUGCCUUGGCGAGGCGCAUGCAGCCUUAGAACCAAGGAUUCCCGAAUGAGACAUCUUAUCUUUUUAAGAUGAUUAGUAAUAAUCGCUAACGCAGGGGACUGAAACGUCUUAGUACCUGCAGGAAAAGAAAUUAAUCAAGAUGCCGUUAGUAACAGCGAGUGAAACCGGCAGAAGGCAAACUGAAUCCUUUAUAGAAAUGUAGAGGAGAUGUGGUGUUGUAAGAGCUGUCAUAAGCGUCUUAAUUAUCUGAGUCGAAGUUUUCUGGAAAGUUGCGCUAUAGAGGGUGAUAGCCCCGUAGACAAAAGAUAGAAAGAUGUGACAGAUUUCUUGAGUAAGGCCUAUCGGAUAUUAGGUCUGAAUUUGGGAGGCAUCAACUUCCAACUUUAAAUAUUUCCUAAGACCAAUAGUGUACGAGUACCGUGAGGGAAAGCUGAAAAGAACCCAUGACAGGGUGUGAAAAGAUCUUGAAACCUAAUGGUUAUAGUAAGGUACGGCUCUUUGGAGUUGUACUGUACGUUUCGAAUAACGGGCCAGGGAGUUUAUUUAAGUGGCGAGAGUAAAUCUCUUUACGAGAAAUAUUCACAAGGAAACUAAAAGCUCGCAGUUUACGAGGAGCAUGGUAUGAAAAUGCCAUAAGUCACUUGGAUAUGACCCGAAACCGCUCGAUCUAACCUAGGAUAGGGUGAAGCAGCAGUAAUGUUGUGGAGGCCCGCAGAGGUUCUGUGUGCAAGCGUUCUUCUAAUUUUAGGUUAGGGGUGAAAAGCCAAUCGAGAGCGGUGAUAGCUGGUUCCUACCGAAGUUGGCCGCAGUCAAGCCUUAAGGGAGAUUGCUAAGACGGUAAAGCGACGGAUUAGAGAUUUAGGGAGGUAAAACUCUCGGUUUCUUGUCCAACUCAAAAUGUUUUAGCAUCUAAGAACUUAGGAGACGGCAGCAGGCGGUAAACGACUGUUGCGAGAGGGGAACAUCCCAGACUAAAAUUAAGGUCCCUAAAUACUGAUUAAGUGUUAAMGGGURAAAGGUGUGUMUUACCAUAGACAGCAGGGAGGUAUGCUUAGAAGCAGCAAUCCUUUAAAGAAAGCGUAAUAGCUCACCUGUCUAGGUAAGAUGCCCUGAAAAUGGACGGGGCUAAAUCAGUUACCGAUAUUUUAGACUUAAGCAAAUGCUUAAUGUGGUAGGUAGGUAUAUUGUUGGGGCAGAAGUCUUUCUGUAAAGAUGGAUCGACCUGACAAUAACAAGAAUCCUGGCGGAAGUAGGAUCUAAAUAGCGUGAGAACCGCUAAUACCGAAAGGGCAAGGGUUUCUUAGCACUAUCUUUUAGCUAAGAGUAAGUCGGUCCUAACUAAGUUCAUAACAUGACACUUGGGAAAGGGCAAAGGGUUAAUAUUCCCUUACUACUUGAGUACUUAUGGCAACAGAAGUUUAGUCUCUGACGCUUCUGGCUAGGUUGACAUCUUUAACUAUGGAUGCUAACUAAGACAAAUCAGGGGAGUGUUGUAAUAAUGAGAACCUGAUUAAACUUAGGAAUGGCUAGCUUAUGGCUAGUUCAGCUGAUGCCUGGAGCCAGUGAAAAAGGGACUAAAAUGGAUCUCAAGUAACCAUACCCAGAACCAACACUGGUGCCCCUAGGUGAGAAGCCUAAGGUAUGUGGGAGUAAUCUAACUAAGGGAACUCGACAAAUUGGUCCUGUAUCUUCGGUACAAGGGAUCCCUGCGAUUGUCUCGCAAGAGGCGAUUACAGGGUGCAAUAACCGGGGAGGUCCGACUGUUUAACAAAAACAUAGCUUCUCGCAAGCCUGUAAAGGUGAGUAUGGGAGGCCACGUCUGCCCAGUGCUAGUACCUCAAACUUCUUUUCAAGGGAGCUAAGGGCUAGUAAACGGCGGGAAUAACUAUAAUUCUCUUAAGGUAGCGAAAUGCCUUGUCGUUUGAAUGACGACCUGCAUGAAWGGCGUAACGAGAUCUCCAUUGUCCCUAGUUAGAAUCCCCUGAACACACUAUUCAGGUGCAAAGGCCUGAGGCUUCCAGUGGGAAGCAAAGACCCCGUGGAACUUUACUACAACUUGUUGCUGUGAUAUGGAUGCUAAUGUGUAGUGUAGGUGGAAGUCGUUGAGGCUCAGUCGCUAGAUUGAGUUUAGACAACAAUGAAACACCACCCUAUAGUUUCUAUACCACUUACUCUGAAUAAGAGGACACCAUUAGGUGGGUAGUUUGGCUGGGGCGGCACCCUGCUGAAAGGAUAUCAGUAGGGCCCAAAGGUCAGCUCAUCUCGGUUAGAAAUCGAGAGUAGAAUGCAAGAGUAAAAGCUGGCUUAACUGUGUUCCUAACACUAUGGAACGCAGGAACGAAAGUUGGGUCUAGCGAACCCUUAUGUCCUCCUUGAUGGGGGCUAAGUAUGACAGAAAAGCUAUCCCGGGGAUAACAGAGUYGUCGCGCCUAAGAGCUCAAAUCGACGGCGCGGUUUGCUACAUCGAUGUCGGCUCKUCGCAWCCUGGCUGUGCAGAAGCAGCCAAGGGUGGRGGUGUUCACYCAUUAAAGCGGCUCGUGAGCUGGGUUCAGAACGUCAACAAUGGCGUUGCAUAAGAGCAAUCUUAUGAAAAA
rfam:Archaeon GW2011_AR20 chromosome, complete genome.